rnacentral:ncRNA from 2 species
CGCGUCUUGACGGGGUGCUGGUUUCCUCCAUCACGGGAAACCGGCUGAGAUUGCAUCGCAGAACCCGCAACCUGAUCCGGAUAAUGCCGGCGUAGGGAUUAAGACACGACGAUAA